ACCAACCUCCCUUAGGCACUUUCUACAGAGCAGCUAAUCAAAAAAAAAAAAAAAAAACCUUGUUCUUCUCUUCUUCUUCCUCUCUCACAAAUUUGACUUUCAUAGAAGAAAAAAAUGGUGACUACAUCGUCACGAACCAAGUCAAACGGACCGGUGCUUCGUUCACAAUCACCGUCAGGUCGAUUUUGCGGUGGUUACUCAAGAGCCGUUCCGUCAUCUUCUUCAUCAGCUUUCGCUUCAUCAACGAGUUCUAGCUUUUCAUCUCCGUCGUCAGCUUUUUUCAGCAAUCACCGUCAUCACGAGAGCAAUCACAGUCACCACCGAUCUGCGUCACCGACUCGUGUGAAUCUCUACACAGCGCAACCGAUGUCUCAGUCGUUUCGUUACUCUCUCGAUAGCAGAUCUAUAUCUCCGACUAACAAAUCGAUCUCCGUUUCGAAGAAUCAGCCACCGAGCCAUAAUCACAAGAUCUCAAGGAGAUGUAUGUGUUCUCCGACGACGCAUCCAGGAUCUUUCAGAUGCAGUCUACAUAAGAACGUAGCGAAUCCACAUGGUCAAGGUACAGCUUCGUAUACAACGAAUGGAUUGAAUAUGCGUCGAUCUGCGAUGACUAAUUCGCUGGUGAGAAUUGGUGGUGUUGAAGGAGAGUGGGUGAGAAGAGCUUUGACUACUUUGAUUCGACCUUCUUCGCAUCAUCUGAAAAGACGAGCUGCUUAUCAGCCACGUCCUAGUCGACUCUCAAUCAUGGCGAAAGCUGAUGAGAAUUGAUUUUGAUCUGGAUUUUGGUUAAUUCAGGUUUGUUUUGUUUAUUAGCGUUUUUUUUUUCGUGUCCCGUCAAGUCAACGUUCGUGUACUCCGUUGACCGGCGUUGUUUGCCAUUAUCCGUCGUCGUUUCUACCGUGAAGCGUUGCGUUAGUUUUCCAGGUAUGCGUUAUUCGUCGUGUCAGGUUGCGUUUGGUGAUGGAGUUUGAACUACUUGACUAACAGGGACAUGAAAAUUCAGAUG
rnacentral:misc_RNA from 1 species